rnacentral:ncRNA from 1 species
GGCAAUUCUCAGGGCGGGGCGAAAUUCCCCACCGGUGGUAAGGGUGCAAAGCGCACUUAAGCCCACGAGCGCCCGCAUUUAUGUGCGGGGUCUAGCAGAUUCGGUGUAAAUCCGAAGCCGACAGUGAUAGUCUGGAUGGUAGAGAAUGAGG